rnacentral:misc_RNA from 1 species
CGUCAUGAAAGUCGGUACACCCGAAGCCAGUGGCCUAACCUUUUGGAGGGAGCUGUCGAAGGUGGGAUCGGCGAUUGGGACGAAGUCGUAACAAGGUACCGUACCGGAAGGUGCGGCUGGAUCACCUCCUUUCUAAGGAGCACCACGAGAAACACUCCAAUUGGUGGGGUGUGGCCGUGGGGGUUCUCGUCUGUAGUGGACGAGGGCCGGGUGCACAACAACAGGCAAUCGCCAGACACACUAUUGGGCCCUGAGACAACACUCGGCCGACUUCGGUUGAAGUGGUGUCCCUCCAUCUUGGUGGUGGGGUGUGGUGUUUGGUAUUGGAUAGUGGUUGCGAGCAUCUAUGAACGCGUCGCCGGCAACGGUUACGUGUUCGUUUUGUGUAAUUUUUUCUUUUGGUUUUUGUGUUCGUAUGUUU